rnacentral:rRNA from 1 species
UCAAUCUCGUGCGGCUAGAAGCCGCUUGUCCCUCUAAGAAGAGUUCAUAUUGUCGCCGACAGCACGAAUGCGGAUGUCGUUUCGCGACUAUUUAGUAGGCCAGAGUCUCGUUCGUUAU